rnacentral:lncRNA from 1 species
UUUGGUUGAAUCUAUUUUGUUUUACCCGUUUCCAGCUGACUGCAUGAAACGAAAACCAAAUAAAUCGAAUUAACUGAAUUUAUAGUAGUUUAACACAUAUUAGCAGAAACUACAAAUCAGAGCUUGUGCUUUUAAGCCUCCUCAGCUCAUUUCAGUCUAUCAUUUGCUUAAUUGAUUAGCUGCUGCUUGCCUGCUUAUCAAAAUAGGUAAGUUAUUCUAAAAGCCAAGCAAAACAAGCCUCACAGGACUAGGACAUAAAAGAAGGAUGUGUGCGCCAUAUCACAAAAGUAAAAUUUGUGCAAAUAGAUGGUCAUAAAGGAGGGACGCAUGAGCUAUUACCUCUUUGACUAUAGCCUGCAACUUUUCAAAUAUGGAAGUGGCUAGGAAAUGGCUUGGAGAUACGUAUGGUGCAGCGAGACACCUCUUCUGAGAAAGUAAAUCGAGAUUCUCAUCAUCACCCACGGUAAGCAAAUCCAUGUCUUCAAUUAGCUCAGACAGACCAGAUUGCAGACAGGUGUGUUCAAAGGCAUAAGGCUCAAAAUAUGAGGGAGGCUCAACUUUUGCUAGGAAGGCAGGGCGAAAACGGUGCAUCAUGGUGAUGGCAUCUUCAUCUGAAAAAAGAGGAGGAUAUUUACAUAUAUGCUGUUGAGAAAUUGUCAAUUAAAAUAAAUAUACCCUUACAAAAUCUGAAUUUCCAUCCCUCUGAUAUCUUAGUUUCUUACAUGUAUAUAUUCUUGUACUUGAACCAAAGUCCCUCUUUGAACAACUUUACUAAUAUGAGACUAUUCCCAACCCCCAAGGUUAAAUUUUGUAAGAAUCUGUAGCGUAAAGGGGAAUUAAGCUAGAAUACUUUUAGAAGCACCAACUUCUAGGUUUCUAGCCCUUGGAUCUACUUCUUCAUUACUAAUAGCCUUUGGAUCAAACACUAUUCCACCUACCACCACCUACCACCAUCAUCUCAACCCUACAUCUCUCCAUCCAAUGGCUAAAAACUCAAAAGCACCACUCUCUUGGUGCUUUUAAGAGUAUUCUAGCUCAACUCCGUAAAGAGGCAUAUUUGAAAGUAAUGACUUUGCAAGCAUAAUUAUCAGAAACCCAAAAGAAUUUUAGCUAUAGGCAAUUCUAUUUUGUCUUUGAGUUUAGCAAACCAAAAGCUUGGUAGACACAUACAAAUAUCGGAGAUAGUAUGAAGCGAUGUUUGUACAAGAUUGUGGAAUUUGCACCACUCCUCUUCAAUCUCAGCAAUCAAACCAUGAGGUGCUUUCGAGUUGGCAACACUGACGAUUUGUUUAAGCUGCUCUAGACGGUGCUUAUCCUUUACAAUAUACAUAAAAAAGAAAGAAAAGAAAAACCCGAAACAUAUAAAUUUGUAAGAUGACAGUAGCAUCAGAAAUUAAACCAUAACCAAGAUACGGAAGUAAAAUUCGAAGCAGGAAAAUAUGCUCCAUACAGUGUCUAACAUGAUUUGAUAAAUUAAUUAACCUUUUCAUACAUCCCUUUUUUCUGAAUUUUCAGCAGAAGUAUAAUACUUGGAAUUAGACUACUCAAACAACUAAAAUAGCCAAACACAACUCCUCGAGAAACAUGGAAACCAAGUUAUGAAGCUCGCCACAUGAAUAGAAUCCCAGCCAUCAUUCUACCCUAGCUAAGGUAUAGCAAACCACCCAAUCUAUCACUUGUCCCUGGUUACAGCAUAUCUGAAUCACUAAAAAAUAAUCUUUUCCAAUGGCAAAUCCCUGCAAAAUCUGAAUCUCUGUAUUUCCAUACAAAUCAAGCACACACUCACAAACGCAGUGCAUGCAGGCAUGCGCACAACCAUACACAUGUGCACAUGCACUAAUACUGCUCUACUACCAAAAAUAACCUUCAUAAAACAGAGAUUCUAAAACAAGAACAAAUCCAAUGAAAUGCGCAACUUCCCAACUUAAGGGGAUAAGCGACAACUUUGAGGGGUGGAAAAUUCAGUCUAUAGAUGAGUUGGCAGGGUUAUAUAUGUGAAGGCCCUUUUAAUCUGUAUCAGGUACUCACAUCCAUCAACAAGAAAGUGCAGCUAGCACGUGUAAUACAAUUUAUCAAGUAUUGAAUUUUACAUUGACAAGUUACCUUGAAAACGCGUUGCCAGAAUUGAAAAGCACAUAAGUUUGCCAUGAAUAUAGCUUCCUUCUUCCGUGUUAGAAAAGAACCACUUUCAUCCUGAAAGUAGUUGUCGACAAAUUUUGCAUACUAUGAAACAGAUAAAUGUCAGGACACAAGCAGCAGAAGCAAGACAUGCAUUAGAAAAAGGAGUACACUUAUGGAUAUCUCAGAAUAUACCCCAGAACAUAUGAGCUUGCAUGUACAGGUGGCAGCUAAUAAUGGAUUUAGCUUUUUCGAAAUUAACACACGACAUCUGACAUGGGCAUCACCUAGGAAAAGCUAAAUCACUUACUGACCGGCACAUGUAUGGUGCUGAUUUAUAAGCAACAUUUCGGGAUACCAUUUAAGGUACACAUAGCAUUAGUAUAAGAAAAUAGUAAACUAUACCAGAGCUGGAUCCCCAAAUGGUCGAAAGAUUGGAAGUGGUAGAAUAUCCAACAAUAUGCCAAGAAGAAUUCCUUCAUGAAGCAAACCAAUCUCACCAAAUUUGAGGGUCAGUGCUGAAGCAUCGAAUGACAUAGGUAAACUAUCAAGUAACCGGCCAUGAAAUGUAGGCUCAAAUCGGCCCCUAGGAGGAAGGGGCUUAUCCAAUGCAUGAAUAUGAACAAGCAAAUCAAGGGCAUCUUCGACAACUUCUGGGUCUGGUGGAUCCAUAACCCUUUGCAGCAAAACUAGUAAACAUCAAAUUGAGAAAAGUUAGGCCAAUUGUUUAAUCAGCAAUAUGUAUAGUAAAAUAUACUUUAUCGCUAUUGAUGCAGGAGAAGCUGGACAAACAACACUGAAAAAAAGAGGAGGGAUUUACAUGCUCCCUGCAAAAUGAUCUAUUUAAAUAUACACCCUUGUAGCACAUGAAUUUUCAUAUAUAUCCUUUGAAAAUGCUUCCUACAGAUAUACCCUUAUCCAAAGUUAUGAAGCUAUCAAGUUCAUUAGGUGAAGUUGAUUCGUAAUAAUAAAACUUUUUCAAAGAUAGCAUUUAUGUAGAUACAAGAAUAAUAUAUUAUUUCUGAAGGGCAAUGUGAAAAUUCAAAUUGUAGAGGAAUAAAAACGGUUUGUUUAUCUUCAUUGUUGUUGGGCACUCCAGUUUGGACACAACAAAAAUAAAAAUGCUGUCACAUUCAGAUUGCAAGAAAUGCCAAGGAUAGAAGAAGAGGCAUACAGCUCUACUAAGCUUCCACGACCUAGUCAACGAAGUAUAAAAGAGAUCAGCCAAGAUAACAGCUUAACGGAUGGGAGAAAAUUAAUUUAGAUUGUACCUUGGAACAGACAAGCACACAAUCCUAUGCACCAUGUAGUGAAAAAAUAAACAAUCAUUUGCUAUAAAUGACAUAGCCGUAUGAAACAAAAAGUCACAAGAAGUACCUUUGGGAUCAUUAAUAGCUUUUGAUUCAGCACAGCAGAUCGUAAGUACUUGCUCCCUCAAGGAUAACCUCAAAAUUGCAGGGUCUUCAUGGUCAUUUAGAUUAUUAUAGAAUGUUCUGGGAACUAACCGGUAGACCUGGCCAUCACAGGUUCGACCAGUCCUACCUUUUCUCUGCUCAGCCUGUAAAAAAAAACUUCCAAGUAGAUCAACUAGUUCUCAACAGUAAAUAUCCUAGUUAAAGUUAAAAUGUAUGAAUGAUUCCUGGACUAUCCCGAUAUUGUGUUUAGUCCGCAUCUUUUCAUCUUUUCACUUGAAUAGUAAAGUCCCCAAACUCAUCAUUUUCUUCCCAGAUCGUGAAAGAGAAAAACACAAGUUUUUCCUGUAAAGCCAUCUACGCACUUCUGUAAAAUGACUUUGUUAUUUCUACGCACUUAAUAAAGUGAUAGAAGGAUCAAUUAAUAAGAAAAGGUCACAUAUUGCCGAGCCUUUUAGCACAUCAGUGAUGAAAUUGCAAGAUGCUGGUAGGGAUAGAAAGUCUUAAGCAUGUAUGUAUUUCUCCAAAACCCAGGACACCCCAUAGGGAUUUUUUUUUUUAAGGAUCUGCGACGGGGAAUCAAGUCACAAUAGUUGGAUAGCAUGGUGAAUAUUGAUUAUCCACAUCUUAAGAAAGACUUCAUUGAGUACCUGAGACUUGGACACCCAAACAAGCUCGGUUGAAUCUGCUUUCCUAUUGUGGUCCCAAAAGACUUGCAAAGAUCUACAAGAAUCGAUGACAUAAGCCACUCCUGGGAUAGUGACAGACGAUUCUGCAAUGUUUGUUGCUAGAAUCACCUGUGGUGUAGAACCAAAAUUAAAACCAGAAAAUAUUAGCUUUUCUUUCCAUAGUAAAUUUCAUCAAAAGCAUACAUGUAGAUUUUAAAAUAGCAACAUUGUUUGUUAAUUACAAAAAUUUCAGCCUUCCUAGAUUUAAAUGAAUUGAAACAUAUAUCAAAAUGUAGACCACUACUACAUGCAAGAUUACCAUCUACAACUCAAACGAAGUGAAUGCCAUGUUAUUGUCAAAGCAGGAAAAGAACAGAAAGCAUACAGAAUAAAAACAGAAAAGACAAUUUGAUCUUGGUGAGAACAAUGCCUAAUCAACAGUCAGCUCUCAAGUGAUUUUUUAUUUUGAUUGAUUACUGAUUACCACUUAGUUUAGUCUCAUUUUCACCCAUUAGAUAAUUAUUUUGGUUCUCUAAUCAAAGACAUUAGCAGUGUCUUAUGCAGGGAUUUUUUCCAACCACUAGGUUUCAAAUUAUACUUGAUCUUACUACUAGAAAGAAAUAACUAUAUGUUUAUUUGGAUGUUGGUAUCCAAACUAAUCCAAUCUGUUUUCAUACCCACAUGAUUGUAAAUUGCACUUUCCCCAAUCAAAGACAUUUUCAAUCAAGAUAGACCUUAAGUCCAAUUUAGCAGCAACAUAUUUAACCGCAAAUGGAGCAGAUUUCCCACCACUAGUCAUUUCUACACACUAUAAGAUGUUUCUUUUUCUUAAUACAAAGCUGGUAAAUGGCGUAGGCCCAAACAACGACAGCCCAGUCACUGAUUUUCCUGCAAUUAAGUUAUAUAAAUAGCUAUUUUUACAAUUAGAAAGACAUUAACUUGUUUAUGCGGCUAAAACAUGAAACAUCAAUGUGUCUUUUUCCACAAUUUUGUUCCCCGAUUAGGAAGUGAAAAUCUACAAGAAGCUUUUAUUCGAAUUGAACUUCUGUUUCUCGAUUGCACUGCAGUAGCAUAAACUAAAGGGGAGAAACUUUUACCUUACGGUGAGAUUUAUAGACUUUCAUAGCUAAGAGUGCUUGAUCGGUGUCAAUGCUGCGAUGAAGAAUAUGUACUUUCAAAAGAGAAAAAAGGGGCCUUAGAAGGACCCAUUGCCGCUCCAAUGCAUGGUACGUGGGAAGAAAGAUUAAUAUGCUUUUCUCAAUGUCAGGUUCUUCUUUAUGUAUGUGCAAUACCAAUGAAUGAAUAAGUUGGUGUUCUUCAUGCUCUAUGUCAACGCUAGAAUAGAAAGGGUUUGUCCCAGAACAAUAUCUCGUUGACAAUGACUCUGAACUUUUCCCAAGAAGAUCUGCAACCUACAAAGUAUUGAUUGUUCAAAACAAUUAAUUAUUCUUAUUGGAAAAGGCAAUCGAUCAGAAUAAGAAACAGAUGUUUAGAUGAAUGAAAAUAGGGUAAAAUGCUGCUAAUGAAGUGCAUUGGAACUAAGACACAGUUUGAGAUGAACAGUAGAUAAUAGAUCCAAUUUAAAAAGCAGUAACACUAUUUCAAUGGUUAAUGAACAGAAGAUACCCUAAUUACCACGAAAAGAAAGAAGAAGAAGCAAUUUUACCUGCCCUAGAUACCAAACUUUCCGCUGGAAGAUAUUACUUUGCGGAGCGCUGGGAAUGGCAAUUACUUCAACCCUUUCACCCCUCCCAAGAUCUUUAAAGUAAUCUCUGUAUCUUGUGAUAUCAGCAGUUGCGGACAUUAGAACAACCCUAAGUGAGCAUUACAAAUACAGUUCCCAAAAGAGUCAGUGAUGCAUUUUAAUGGAAAAUAAACAAUAUCUAGCGAAUCAAGAAGUAGACUAGCAAGCUUCUAGGGUUGCUCAUGAAUUAGGCAAAAUCUAAGAAAACAUUACAGAAUCACAGCAUCAGCAUUCAAGGUUAUUUGCUUACCUCAAAUCUUUGUUUUUCAUCAUAAAUUGCUUUACGCAUGCAAGAACAAGAUCAGACUCCACGGAUCUUUCGUGCACCUCAUCAAGUAUUAUAACCUUAUACUUCAAUGCAGCCAUCCCCUUGUCCCGCAUUUGUUCCAACAAAACACCAGCAGUUUUAAAAACGAUUCUUGAUCUGCUGCAUAGUACUUAUCAUAUUAAACAGCAAUUAUAUGAAAUAGCAACCCUCUUAACUAUUACUGACUAUAUUUACCAUUGAAUUUAACCUGAGAACAACUGCAAAUCAAAAGAAAACAUGCAUCUCUAUCGACCAUAAUCCAAGAAGGCGCUAUCUCAAUGACAGAACUUAUUCGUGUGAAUAUGUCAUUGAGAAGCACUAAGAGAGGCUCGCUUAGUAAGCAUCAAUAGUAAGACUGCAAUAAGAGUAGAGUACCUUGAAUUGAUAUCCGAGACAUUUGAGUGACCAAUAUGAUAUCCCACCUCACCUCCUACUUCACAACUGCGAGCUUGAGCCACCAUUCUUGCGAUCGCCACAACUGCAAAUCUUCUAGGUUGUGUACACAAUAUGGGUUCUAUAUUUUCUUCCAGCAGGUACUGUGGCACUUGGGAGCUCUUUCCUUUAAAAUACAGCAAAUAAAAAGGCAAAAGGAAUCAAUGCCCUAAACUCCAACUAAUAGCGAACUUCAAAAUCUGGAGCUUCUUAGAUUCAAAGACUGUUUCGCUCAGUUUAUGUAUUUACUUCGUACUUUUUGUUUUUCUCAAAAUUUAUACUACUGUUCAAUACUUCAACCUAGAAAUGAUCUUCGUAGUUCCUAUUAUUGUUACAUUUGUCUUUUUUUUAUUUUUUCUGAAGAUUCCUUCUUCACAUUUAGAAACAAAGAAACAUUGCCACUAUAAUUUUGUUUUAUGAUUAUAACCACAAAGUUCACCAACUCUACUCAUUUGAAAACAGAAGAAGGAAGUUACUAAAAUCGCAGGCUUUUACUUGUUACAGCAACACUACUCAUUUGAAAGCAAUCGAUCUAUAAACAGAGGCAGCAAUCUAAAACCACGGAACGAGAUUAAAACCGGGGAUCAUGAGCUCGUUUCAUGAGGCAUUACCACAUCCGGCGUCGCCGACGAUGAGGGUGACGCGAUUCUCCCGGAUCUUCUCGACGAUCUUGGCGCGGAGCGCCGCGACGGGGAGCGGGGGGCGGGGCUCGGGAGGCGAGAGCGACGAAGAUGGAGAAAAGGACGACGACGACGACGACGACGACGACGACGACGCCGCCAUGGAUGAGGCCUCCUCUCCGAGCUCUUCUUCGUCUCCUUCGUGUUUGUAGGUGGAGGAGGAGGAAGCGAGGGCGGUGUGUUAGGGUUUUGGGAACUCGGAGAGUGUGGUGGGCGGGAGGAGGAGUCGAAAGCGUGCUCGCGAAGCAACUUCUCCGCUAAGGCGCGCACAGUCUCUCCCGCGUUUCAGUUUAAAGGGCCCCGCGGUACGAUCCCACGAUCUUAUAAAAUGAUGUGCGCACGUAUGGGAGAAGAGUUUGGAACGCGGACAUAAUUUUUGUAACAUUACAUUUCAAAAGUCAAAACCCGCGCGGUACGGUGAAUAAAAAUUAUAAUAAAUUAUAAAUUAAAUAUAUAAAUAAAAAUAUAAUAAAAAAUAAUUAAUAUUUGAUUGGUUAAUAAUAUAAAAAAUAUGUUAAAAAUUAUUUUAGAAUAAAAAUAUAAUCCAAUGGAGAACAAAGAAAAAAAAUAAAAAAUAAACAAUAAAAAAUAAAAAUUAUUGAUAGAAAUUAAAAAAAUAUAAUUUAAUACAAGAAUAAAAGAUAAGAGAAAAAAUAAAAAUGUGAUUUUGUUGGGAUUGAUUUUAUUACCUGACGAAUUAACUUAAGAAGUAUUUGAAAGAAAAUUAGCCUCACCUUAAUUAAAAGAGAGAGAACAUGGGCUCCAUAAAAGAGGAGGGAAACAGUCCGAAAAAAAAAAAGGUAACGUGAGAAAUAUUUGAAAGAAAGCGGUUCUAUCCUAAUUAAGAAGAGAGAAUAUGGGCUCAAUGCCUCCACUAACAUCCUAAUUAAAAAGAGAGUGAAUGCGGGCUCCAUCCUAAUUAAGAAGAUAGAAUAUGGGGCUCCAUGCCUCCACUAACAUCCUAAUUAAGAAGAGAGAGAAUGUGGGCUCCACUAAUUAAUCAAUAUAAGCUUAUGAAAGGGCGAUAGGGUUGGAGCUCUCCCCGCGUUUUGCGCUCUCCGCCCUCCCGUACGGCGCCCCCCCCCCCUCCCUUCUGAUUUUUUCCCCCCUCCGUUUCGUAGCGGCGAUAGGGCUCGAGCCCUACCCGCGUUUCGCGCUCUCCGCCCUCCCGUACGGCGGCGCCCCCCCUCUUUCGUUUCGUAGCGGCGACGCCAACGCUGUCCUCCCUCGGGAACACCGUCGCAUCCUCCCAUACAGGGCAGCGUUGCCCCCCUCGUCGUCCUUUCGUCCUCUCCGCCUUCUCUCGCCCUGUUGCCUGUCCCGUCCGACGUCCCGUUUACCUUCUUCCGUACUCUUCGCCUUCUCCCACCCUGUUGCCUGUCUCGUCGGCCAUCCCGUCCGCCUGUUCCCUUCCGACAGCCCAUAGGACUGGGGCGUGGCGUUGUGCCGUCGGUCGUGUGGGCGGCGACUUUUCCUCCACCGCACGUUCUCGGCGGUACAGCCCAGUGUGGCUUCUUCCUACGGUUGGUGGUCAGUAUGCAUUAAUUUUAUUAUUAUUAUAUUUAACGCGGUCGCAGCCCACUUCGCGUGAGGCGUGGCGCUUGCGGGCUCUCUCUCGCUCUCUUUCUUGCUUUACCUGGCUAUAAAUACUGAACGGUUUGGCAUCCCUGAUCUUUUUCUUCUACUUUCCCCGGUAUUUUGUCCCCUGUUUCGUUCUUGCCUUGUGGUGCUCUUGAGUGUUACAGGAGAGGGUAUUCUGUCAAGUUUUGUCCGUAUUUAUCCGGUUAGAUAUUUUGUUCUGUGGGUGUUUACUUUGUGCGGUGUUUUUUGCUUGAGUCAUGGCAACCGUAGUUGUGGAAAUCUGUUUCCGAGAUUUCCUGCGCAUUAUCUGUCAGCGAUUCUCUUUGGCAGUACCUGUGUACGGGAUCCCAAUUGAAAAUGGGGGCUUGCUUAGUGCUUAUGUUGAAGUGGAGGUUCCUAGAGGAGAGAUUGUUAUGGAGACAAUCCGUUGCUGGGGCGCGUUUUGCUCUACUGUCAAUGAGACAGAGGAGGACGCCGCCUGUCGUGCUGUUGCGAGAUUACGUGAUGAGUUUGGUUUUGAGGUCAAAGAUAGUAAUCUAGAAGAGAAGAAAUUUUUAAAGAGCCUAUAUGAGCGUGUUUCUGCCGAUUAUAGCUUGCUUCGUGGUAAAUAUAAGCGCCUCAGACGCGACUGCAACCUCUUAAAGGGGUACUGCAGCUCUCUCCUUGCUGAGAAAGAGCAACUUCUUUCAGACCGGAGGGAGUUCAAGGAUAAUUUGCUUAAGUGCCUUGCUUCGGUGAAACAGUGAAAGAUUGGUGUGGUCUGCCCAUGUAAUAGCGGGGGUGUUCCUGAGGAAGGCCCGGCAGCGUAUCCGGGUUAUUAUGGUGGUAGGGAUUGACAAAACCUUGGGCUUUUUUGGGAGUUUUUUUUUUUUCCGCUAGGAGUCGUGUUUGUAUAAUUGAUGAUUCUACUAUAUGCUUUUUCGUCUUGGGUUUUAAUUAGGUGCUCUACUAUUAUGACUGAUGACUUUACUGUGUGAGAAGUAAUGUUUUGUUCGCUCUUUAAACACAACUUAUAGUUAUAGAUGUGUUGUCAAACUUCAACUAGUUCACAGUUCUUGUGGUUGAAAUACGUAAAUCUGCUUUGGUUUCUGUAAUUCGGGUUAGAUGCUUUGCUUUUAUUGUUAUUGGCUCUGUUUCCGGUGAAUGGUUUGGUAAAGGAUGCAUUUUUGUAUGUUGGUUUGUUCUAAUAUUGGUUUAGGGUGCGGUUUGUUAUUUUCGGUAACUAUUUAGGAGAUUGUUAUUAUAAUUAGUUGUGUUUUAUGUGGAUUUUUUGGGUGUUGGGAUUAGGACUUCUUUUAGCAUCCUUCUUGCUGUUGUAUUCUCCUUUUUCCUUUUUUUUUUGUUUUUGGGAGGCUAUGAUGAUAUAUAAGAAAAGAGACAUGAGGUUUGGAUGGUUUGGUUUCUAGGCAACUGGUUAUAUUAUAAAGAGCAUUAAUAAACGCGAUCGCAGCCCACUUCGCGUGAGGCGUGGUGCUCGCGGGCUCUCUCUCGCUCUCUUUUUUGCUUUACCUGGCUAUAAAUACUGAACGGUUUGGCAUCCCCGAUCUUUUCUUCUUCUGCAUAUACAAUCCUCAUUUAGCACUAACAAUUUUCAGGUCCGAUCUGGAGGCUGUUCUAAAAUCCAUCUAUGAAACAAUAUUUUCUCCCGAAAAUGAUGAAACUGGCGCACACUCUCAACAGGAAACUCUGGAAGUAUUUCUCAAUGCGGCAACAUUUUCAAAACAAAUUGAAGGAAGAACUGAAAAGUUCAUGUCUCUAGCAGAUUUUAGAAAUUGGUGCAAUCUUGUGCCAUCUGUGAGGAAGUUCCUAGGAAGUUUGCUGCUGCCGCCUGAUUCAGGUCUUAUUUCCAUUUAUUCAAUUGCAAAGGUGCAUAAUAGUGGCCUUGCAAUAUUGAUUUACGUUGUUUUGUAGGCAGGCCAAGCUUUCAAGUUCCACAGCUUGAGCAUCCUGAGAAUUUCUCUUCGGAGCAGCUAAUUUUGAGAAAAGAAUAUGCUUGGCAUAUUGGGGGAGCUCUUUCUCAGAAUGAAGCUGAAGAGUGGAAGCUUUUGUAUCAUAGUGCACUUAAUGGCUUAAGUUUCAACACCUUCUUGGGCAACAUAGCGUGAGCACCUAAAGUUACCUUGUCGCUUUUUGAUCUGUUUGAUUUUGAACGCUAGAGGCAAGCCCUAUUAGGGGGCGUGGUGUUUCUUGGAUACUGAUAUAUGAAACUGUUACUUUCACUUACGACGGGGAAUUCAAAACUCACCUAAUAUAAGUAGUCUUGUCAUAUUCAAUUAUCAAUGUCUAAGUUGACGCGCCAUAGUUGUAAGCCAUUUCAUUUUGCCGUCUGUAUGGUCCCGUCGUAUUUAGAUACAUGAUUUGCUAUCUGAAAAGCCUUUAACCCAAGUCAAAACACAUUAGAUAUUGUCUGUUUCUCCAUGUCAUUUGAUUUUCACAAAACGGAUAUUGAUUGUCUCUGUUAUACAAUCUUACAAUGAGGCUAGAUUUGGAUUGUAGUAAUUAUCCAGGUAUAGGUCAUUCUAAUCUUCUCCCAGAUUAUCAGAAAGAACAGAAUAAUAGGUUUAAUGUUGCUGCAAAUCCUCAUUUAACUGUCUGAAUCUCUCUAUAUAAUCUUACUUUAGUUUUCUGUCAAUAUUCUCUACAUUAGUAGUUCAGGCAUAUUUAUUUGGCUUCGGUUAAAUAUAGAAUUGGUUCUGAAUCGCCUCUGUAAUACACACCCCAAUCAAAAACUGUUCACAAUUUAAUAGCCUUACAUGAACUUAUUUGUUUCAAACUUUUUCCAGAAUUUAGCCCUUAUUAUGAGGCAAUUCUCUGCAUGCAGAAUCUCAUGAUGCAUCAUGAUUUAGCACUGGGUCGCCUUUGUUUGUAUCUACAGGUAGAGAUGACCACUGUGUUGAUUAUAAAAAUACAGAAGUUUCAUAUACGGAGGGUAUGCAUCUCAGUCAGUGGAAAGAGAUCAGCGAUUUUUAUGGUGAUAUGAAGUCUUUCUCUCGAGCUAUAUCCUCAAUCCAUGCUUUCGUCUUACAGCAGCAAAAAAUAACUUACAAUGGGUAUGCUUAUAUUGACAGCAUUUUUCUAUCACAUUAUUAUGUUUUGCUUUUGAAUAACAUUUACUUGAACUUUCCGAAAUAUGUUAGUUAUGGAAGAAAUUAUUAUAUUUCACCAGGUCCAUUGUUACUUGCAUUUUGUUAUGUGAUAUAUUUUCUCUUGGAUAAAAUGAUAAGUUUUGGUGCCAGUAGUUCUUAAUAGCAGAAUAUGAUUGUUGAUUACCGGAAAUUUCAUUGAUUGUCUCAUAUCAUCUCCUUUCAAUCAAUUAUCUAUAGAAGGGGAAUUUAUUAAUGAUAGUAAUAUUAAAAUUAAUAUUAAUAGUUCUAAUAAUUAGCUAAUUGUAUCGACUUCCUGUUGCAACACGGAGAUUCGUUUACCCUUUGUUGCUAAAUAUACUCACUACGAAAAUAAAUAUUAUUUAAAAAUAUUAAUGAAUAAUAUUAAAAAUAGUUUUAAUAAUUUUAAUAAUUAACUAUUGUAUCGACUUUCCGCCGCAACGCGCGGGGUUCCGUAACUAGUUAAGAGAAUAAUUCUAUAAGUUUAGAAAGGGAGGGGCCCACUUUUUUUUCAUGAAUUGCGAAAGAGGCUUGAAAUCCACGAGGAUUCAUUAGAUUUUAUAGAUACGUAAAUUACAUGAAAAGUUAUGGCCAAUUUGCAUAAAAAAUUCAAAAGUUUUGAGAUUUUAUAAAACUGGAUAGUUUUUUUUUUGUUUUUUUAAAUUCGGAUUAGAUUUUCAAGAAAAUUGACUAAAAUACUCUUAUUCAUUUCUCUCUCAUUCUUUCUUCUUUCCUUUCCUAAGAGAGAGGCGAAGGUGAAGGUGGAGGCAGCCUCACCUACCCCCGCACCCUCGCCCGUGUCUGCGCACCACCCGCCCUCCUCGCCUCCGACCCUACCAAGGUUGCGCUCGCCGCCGUGGCCCUUUGGGACGCACCUCCUCGCUUCCGCCUCAUGCACCCUCGUUCAUGCCCGCUCACCCCCCGCCCUUCUCGCCUCUGACCCUGCCAAGGCUGCAUCACAAUUCUCUUUUUUUUUCUCUCUGAAACUCCUCCACCGCUUUCCGCUGUCCUUCGCGACCCACCUCCACCUCCAUCUCCACUAUAGCAAAUAUUUCACCUACAAAAUUCACUUCUGGAAAUCCGCCAUCCUCAUCACCGCCCACGACGAUGAAAAGUAAGCGCUUUUCGGCAUCAAGAAGUUCAUUGGCGGGGAAGGGCACGCGACCCACCGCGCCCAUCCAGCGCCGACGACAAGCGAGGUGGAGAUGGAGGAGGGUGUGACGACGUCGGAGAAGAGGGUGGGGCAGCGAGCGCAGCAUUGACGUGGUAAGAGGCAAGGAGGGCGGUGCACAUGAGCAUCUCUAGUCUAAGUAUUUUUGUUUGUUUAAAACAAAAAAAAAUUAACUGAAAAAAAAAUAGGUAUUGUUUCGUUUGGAGGUAAGCAAAAAGUGACUAUUCUAGGGAUAGAUAUAAAUUGAGGUAUAAGCGGGGAUAAGAUCAAUUUUGCGUUUAGAUGAAAAUUAAAUUAUUUAUGAGAAUAAAAAAAAUAGGGUUUGGUUAGGUAAUAUGGAAUAAGAAUUAAAAUGAGUAGUUAUAAAUAAAAAAUAAUGAUAUUAUCCUUUCUUUAUAUUAAAAUUUAAUUUUUUAUAUUUUAUAUUUAUAUUUUAGAAUUUUAAAUAUAAAAUUUUAAAUUUUAAAAUUUUAAANAAAUUUUAAUUUAAAAAUACAAAAUAUCAAAUUCUAAAUAUAAAAAAAAGUAAAAUAUCAAAUUUUAAAUUUUAAAAUUAAAUAAUUUAAAAUUUAAAUUUUUAAUUUUAUAAUUUUAAAAUUUAUAAAUUUUAAUUUUUGAACUUACGAAAUUUAAAUUUUAUAAUAAAUUAAAAAUUCUCUCUCUCUCUCUCUCCACGGGUGGAACAAAUUGGAUUAUCCCAGCUUGUUCCACCUUGGGGUGGGAACUAGUGUUCCAACCAAAUUUUUUGUGUUUGGGGGAUAAGGGUGGAAUAAACUCUUUAUUCCACCCUUAACUCUCCAACCAAACAUAGCCUUAUUAGAGAAUAAGGGAGAAGAGAUUAAAUUGCACUAUUAAAAUAAAGUUACACUGUUUUAUAAGAACGUUUCACUAUUAUUAGGGGUGUAAUGUGGGCCGUGCCGGCCCGGCCCUGCCCGGACUUACGGGUUGGGCCGGGCCCAAGUUUCCUACCCUUUGGCCCGGCACGGCCCUUUGGCCCGGAAGGCAUGGGCCGUGCCAGGCCGGGCCGGGCCGUGCUUCGGGCCGGCCCAGUAAAGUGUUUAUUUUUUAUUUUUUUAAAAAAACAUUUGGUAUGAAAAUUUCAAAUAUAAACAAUAAAUAUUUUUAUUUAAAUUAAUAUUUUGAUUAAAAUAUUAAAAAAUUAUAAAAAGAAUUAUACUAAAGUAAAUAUUUAAUUUUUUUUUAAAAAAAUAAAUUUGUAUUAUUUAUUUUUUUAAAAAAGGAAAAAGAAAUAAUUGGACCAAAAUUCUUUGGUCCAUUGGACCAAAAGUCCUCCUCCCUAGCAGACCUUGGGAGGAGAGCUCUUGGGGAACUCAGACCCCAUGGCCCAAGGCAAUUGGCCAUGGGGUGCGGGCCGGGCUGGCACGGCCCAAGCGGGCCGUGCCAUGCCGAGCCGCCCGCCUACCCUUGGCCCGGCAUGGCCCAUGCCCGUUUCGGGCCGCGCCGUGCUGGGCCGUCAGACUUCAAAAUGCUGGCCCAACACGGCCUAGAGUUUCGGGCCGACCUGGCCCGGGACGGGUGCUACAGUACCCGUGCCGUGCUGUGGCCCGGCCCGAGGCAGUGCCGAGCCGGGCGACCCACGUGCCGCCCAGUCCGUUUUACAUCCCUAACUAUUAUAGAUGCAAGUGCAACUCUUUGAGAUAUAAACUGCAUAAUUUAAGAUAAAAGUUAUAUUCUUUAAAUAAAAAUUACACUCUUUGGCAGAAGAAAUAGUGUAACUAUCUCCCAAGUAGUAUAACUUUUGUUUAAAUAGUAUAACUUUCAUCUAAUGAAUACUCUUUGGGAGGAAAAAUAGUAUAACUAUCUCUCAAAUAGUGCAACUUUCGUUUAAAGAGUAUAACUUUUAUUUUAAAGGAUACAGUUUAUAUCUUAAAAAGUACAACUUACGUUUAUAAUAGUGCAAUAUUUUUCUAAAAUAGUGUAACUUUUAUUUUAACAGUGCAAUUUAAUCUUCUUCUUCUUUCUUCUUUAGUUUUUCUUCUAUAUUCUCUAGUUUUUUUUUAUUUUUAGUAGUUUUUUUUAAACAAAAAUGCUUGACUAAAGAUGUUCCCGUGCACCCUCCGCUCUCUCCUCGCCUUCGACCCCGCCGAGGCCAUGCUUGCCGCUGCCCUCUGUGAAGCCACGCUCGCCACCGCCCUACCCUUUUCUUCGGCGUCAUCACGCUCUCCUCCGUUUCCACCUCGCUUGUUGCCGGCAUGGGAUGAGUGUGGUGGGUUGUGUGUCCCAUCCCUCGCCAGCGAGAUUUUUUGCGCUGAGAAGCGCUUUUUUUUCGUUGUUGGCGGCGGUGGUGAGGACAGCAAGUUCACAGAAGUGGAUUUGGUGGGUGAAAAAUUUGCUACGGUAGAGGUAGAGGUGGAGGUGGGUCACAAAGGACGGCGGAGACGGUGGAGGAGGUUCGGAGAGAAAAGAAAAAGAGAAGGCAUAGCCUCGGCGGGGUCGAUAGCGAGGAGUGCAAGAGGUGAGCGGGCGCAUGGGGCGGAGGCGAGAAGGUGCGUCCCAAUGGACGGUGGCGAGCAUAGCCUUGAUGGUGUCGGAGGCGAGGAGAGUGGGUGGUGCGCGGACGAGGGCGCAGCCGGCAAAGGCGAGGCGGGCCGCCUCCGCCUUCGCCUACACCUCUUUUUCGGAGAGGGGAAAAAAAACGAGAGAAAAAAAAAGAGAGAGAAAGGAAUAAAGAGUAUUUUGUUUACUUUUCUGAAAAUUCAGUCCGAAUCUACAAAAUCGAAAAAGACGAUCCAGUUUUGUAAAAAUUCAAAACUUGUGGAUUUUUUUAUGCAAAUUGGCCACAAGUUACCGACAACAUUUAAAUAUUUAAAUUUAGAUUUCACACCUCUCAUUUUAUUUUAUUUUACAAUUUUUUUAUUAAGGCAUCAUUCUAAUUCAGCACCAGUGUUUUAGAAGAUACCGUCUAUUUAAAGUAAAUUAAUUAAAAUAUUAAUAGGUAAUCUCACCUUCAAAUUAUACUGAAAAAUUAAUUGUAUCUAUUUAUCCCUAUAAAGUGAUAAAAUUGUAUAUUUUUUCAGACAAAGUUUUAGUUGGUAUAUAUAUAUUCAUUUAAAUUAGGAUAUUUAUAAAAAUAUCUAUUUCCGUUAUUUAACGGAUCAAAACUGCCUUUUCAUCCAUAAAAUAAUUAUUUUACCUUAGAUAGAUAUUUUUUUAGUUAUGUUUUAAAUUAUUUAUCAAUUAUAUAAUUUCAUUCUAAAUUUUAUACCAUUCUAUAUAAACUAUAAACUACAAAUCAUAAUUUUUUUUUACAAAAAAACCUAAUCUUCAUCAAGGGCAUAACGGUUCGAAGGUUAAAAUAAGAGUCAAUUAACAAGAAUUAGACUACUAUACUAUCUAUAGUACCGGAGCUCCGGUACUAUAGUGUUGUUUUCGAUUUUAGGGUGUUCAAAUUAACGAUCCACACCGUUAAAUAUGAUCUAGGAUAUAUAAAGUUCUUUGGAAUAAAAUUUUAGUUUUUUUCGACAUCGUUUACUUAGUAAAUAAAUUAUGUCAAAAUGGACGGUAGAAAUUGAAUAAUCUUUAAAAUUUGAGCAUAGAAUUUUUAAAUUCAAGAUUAAGAAUGUUAACCUUAAUCUAGAUAGUUUAAAGUAUUUUCUAUCAAAAUUUGAAGAAAUUUAGAUUCUUCUACACCGUUAAACUCCAAACUCGCCAUAGUAGCCAUUGAAAAUUGACAAUUUUGAAAUAGUUUGAUCAUGAAGUAAACUAUGUCGAAAAAAUAUAAAAUUUUAUUUCUAAAAACUUUUAAUACCUUAGAUCAGUUUUAACGGUGUGGAUCGUUGAUUUGAACACUCUAAUAUUAAAAACGAGACUAUAGUACUGAAGCUCCGGUACUAUAGAUAGGAUAGGAGACUAGCUCCAAUUAACAAUACUUAACCAGCAUAGAUAUAUUCAUGUAUUUUGAAGCUUUCGAGAGACAUAUUUAGCAAUUAAAAAUCUACAGUGAUAACCCUAUAAUCUCAAAUGAUAAAGAUAAAAUUUUCCUUGUACGCUGCAAAAGGGUGUAGAUUUUACACCUUACAUUACAUCCUACGAUUCACAAAAACAAGAAUAAUUUUUAGUAUAAAAAAAAUUAAUGUGACAACUGUCAAUUAAAGAAAAAACAGACAGUUUUUGGAUGGAAGGGGUUUAAGCCUCAUUUUCGAAUGUGCCGGUAACAUUACUCAACGAGAAAUUCUAUUUGUACACCACAUAAAUAGGCGAUGUAGAUCUUACACUCGUCAUUCUAAAAUUUAUAAGAAAUUUAAGUAAUUUUUAGUAUAAAAAGAUGUUGAUGCAACAACUAGAAAAUAGCAGUUCUUAAACAGAGAGGAUUUAAGAUACAUCAGUAGCAUUCUCAUAUAUAGUGAAUUAGAGUGCUAUCUCUACACCCGAUCUAGAGGUGUAAUUUAUGCCCGAAGAUCUAAGGCUAUAUUUGGUUGGGGGAUAAGGGUGGACUAAAGAGUUUAUUCCACCCUUAUCCCCCAAAUAUAAAAAAAAUUUGGUGGGAACACUAAUUCCUACCUUAACGAGCUAUUCUAGAAUAGCCCAUUAAGAGGUGGAAACUAGUGUUCCCACCUCAGGGUGGAACAAGUUGGGAUAAUCCAGUUUGUUUCACUCGUGAAGAGAGAGAGAGAGAGAAAGAGAGAGAGAGAGAGAGAAUUUUUAAUUUAUUUUAAAAUUAAAAUUUCGUAAGUUAAAAAAUAAAAAUUUAAUGAUAUUUUAAAAUUUAAAUUACAAAAUUUUUAAAAUUUUGUAAUUUUUAAAAUUACAAAAUUAAAAAUUUAAAAUUUAAAUUGUUUAAUUUUAAAAUUUAAUGAUAUUUUAAAUUUUUUAUAUUUAGAAUUUCAUAUUUUUAUAUUUUUAAAUUAAAAUUUCAUCUUAAAUUUAAAGUUUAAAAUUUUAAAAUUUAAAAUUUAAAAUUAUAAAUUUGAGAUUUUAAAAUUUUAAAAUUUUAAAAUUUAUAUUUAAAUUCUAAAAUAUAAAUAUAAAAUAUAAAGAAAAAUAUAAUAUUAUUAUUUUUUAUUUAUAAUUAUCCAAUUAAAUUUUUAUUCCAUCUUAUCUAACCAAACGUUAUUUUUUUUAUUUUCAAGAAUAACUCAAUUUUCAUCCAAAUACAAAUUUAAUCUAAUCCUUGCUUAUAUCUUAAUUUAUAUUUAUUCCUGAAAUAACCACUUUUUACUUAUCCCAAACCAAACGAAAUAAGUAAAAAUAGACGAAUCAUAAAAAUUUUUAAAAAAUGCUUCUUAUACAGCCCAACCCAAAAUACACUCCACUCAUGAAAAGGGCAAGAGUGUAGUACACCGAUCACAUCAAUGUGAUUAGUAGACAACACCCUAUUUUUGAAGGGGUGGAAUGUAUUUCCUAGAUCUCUCUCCCCCCCCCCCCCNNNNNNNNNNNNNNNNNNNNNNGCACUAUUAGCAUUGCUCAAAAUUUAACAAAUGUGUAAUUUAUGCUUAUUUUACUUUAUGGAUCCUUUUUGUGUAUUCUAUCACUUCUACUCCACUUUUUGACUUUUUAUUUUGGCUUUUAUUUAUUUAUUUAUUUAUACUUUUGGCUCUUCAACAUGUGAUCAGCCUCCUCUCCACAACCAUUCAUCUCUCUCUUCAUUUCAUACUCCAAGGACCACCCACUCCACUAAACUAUGUUGCUUGGGCACUUCCCCUCCACACAACUCUCUCUCUCUCUCUCUCUCUCUCUCUCUCUCUCUCUUUAUGGAGGAGAAGAAGCAUAAAGCAUACUAGAGCCUCAAGCCUCUUCUCUCUCUCUCUCUCUCUAUGAUAUAAAAACAAACAAAAAGUCACACGCCAUUGGAGAAAGUGUUACCCUGGACCUGGUUCACCAAGGUAGUUUCAAAUGAUUUUCAUUUCAUUUCAUUCCAAUCCAUUCCAUUCUUUUGAAAUCAAAACUUUCCUUUAGAAGAGAAAGAAAAAUUAAACUGAUACUAAAAUAUCCAAAUUCAUUCAAUCAAAAUUAUUGGAUCUAAUCGAAUAAUUCAGUAAUUCUAUUUGUUACUUAAGCUAGUAAUUUUAAAUAUAUUUAAUGUUACCAUCUUCUAAAAUAGCCUUUUCUUUAAUAACGGCAUACUAAAAACUUAUAUCAUCACUGUUCUAGUGUAAUUACCAAAUAGUAUCAUAUUGUGUAAAAAUUAUAUUAGUUAAGGAUAUUAAAUUUACCCGUGAACUAUCAAAAACGGUCAAGGGCCACAUGAAUGAUAGAAAAAAAAAAUAAUAAUAAAUAGUGGACCUGUCCACCGAAUAGUUUCUCCGGACCUUCCCACAGUCCACACCACAAUUAAUACUUAUUUAUCUCAAUAAAUAAAAUAGAAAAUUUCCUCACCCUAAAAUAGUAACCUAGUAGUACCCACAAAAAAAAUCCUAUUCCCCUCUUGCUGUUUCUCUCUCUCUCUCUCUCUCUCUCUCUCUCUCUACAAACUAUUCUUCAACAAAAAUUGCCUAACAAAUCCCCCAAAAAAACCCCUCUCUACGAUGAGCGCCCCUUCGAACUCUUCUUCUUCUUCUCCGUCGCCGUCGCCGCCGCCGCCGGAGACGGCUGGGCCAGCCUCCACAAGCUCUCCGUCUGUUGCCCCGGCCUCCUCCGCGCCGGCGUCCUCCUCGAGCACUCCGACUUCGGCCUCGAGCGCGAGAUCGGCCCCGACCGCAACCUCCUCCUCCCACCCCAUAUCCCUAACCCUAACCCUAAUCCCCCCACCUCCACCGAUUCGGCAGCCCCACCUCCCAACUCGGUCGGCUGGUCCCUCUUCGACGACCUCUACCUUGACACAGUCUACGACCGAUCCGAGUCCAAGGACCCCUCCUUUACCCCUCCCGCCGCCGCCGCCGCCGCCGCCGCCGCAGCAGCACCCCGCCGCGGGGAUUUCUGCAGGAAGCGCAAGCCCCAGCACCGGGCCGGCCCCGUCGAGGCGCAUUUGGCUUCGGGCUCCUGGACCCUCAGCCGCGAGCAGGGGAACAAGCUCCUCGCGAGCCGCUUCCGCGGCGAUUCCUUGUACAUUUGCAAUUGGCCCGGUUGUAUCCACGCCGAGGAGAAGCGCAAGUACAUGCUUUUCCGGGGGGUCUUCAAGAACUUCAAGCGGUCUAGGGUUUGGCGCACGAUCAGCGACUCGAACAGGGGCAAGAUCGGCCUGGAUUGCGCGUUCUGCGAUUGCAAGGAUACUUGGGAUCUGCACUCCGCAUUCUGCUUGCGGAGCUUCUUCGGGUUCCACGACGACGGCGAGCCCGUCGUGAGGGCUUUUGUCUGCGAGAACGGGCACGUUUCGGGCGCCUGGACGGAGAGGCCGAUGUAUACGUAAAAUCUCAUCUCUAUCUAUCUAUGCCUCCCUCGGUUAUGCCUUUGCUUUUGGGAAUAAUUGCUAGUUGACUGCUACAUUCUCUCUACUAGGAUGAUGAUAAAAAUUGGUCAUAUUAAUGUUUGUUGUUGUGAACUUUGAUGAAUAGUUGUUUACAAGUCAUUUAUCUAUGUAAUGUUUUUAUGGAUAAUUAAUGGAGAAUUUCUUGUCUCCAGUUUGAGUAGCGCACGCGAAUGAGAUUCGCGUUUGAAUUGUAGUUGUCGAAUUAUGUUUUGCAAGAAUGGGCAUGUUUUGGUGCAGGGGCGGAGAGGCCGAUGCAUAUGUAAAAAACCUUCCUUUUCUCUCAAUAUGGUCUUGUUUUGUCGGAAUUAUAUUUCGAUUCUUGCUUAAUUUUUAAAUUUUCUGUUAGAAUUAUAAGAUACUAGUAGGUAGUCGAUACAGAUGAAAUUGGGAUUUGGGUGAUUGGUGCUGUGUAGUUUUAUGAAUGCUUUCUGCAGAUUUAUCCAUCCACCUCCGAACAAUUUGCGAGUUUAUGUGUAUUGUUAAUGAACACAUCUGUAGUUGUGUUAUUAAUUUGGUAUUUGAUUGUAGUCGUUGAAUUGCAGUUUUUUCCCCACUUAAAUUGGUACUUGAAGAAGUUCAAAUGUGCUCGAGUAAAAGAACAUAAUCGUAAUGCAGCAAUCUGUUUGAUUACUAACUUUUCUGACUGGAUUAUGUGAUGCUUGAGACUGAUGAAUUGGAAUUUAAAUUUUUUUUCCCCAGUGUUUGAACAAUACUUGAUGAAAAGUUGCUUUUUGCUGAGUUACUAUUUAACUUCCAACAAUUUGCGAGUUGUUAUGGAUAGUUCAUGGAGAAUUUUGUCUCGAGUGUGGAUAAUAGAAAUAUUUUUUGAACUGGGAAUUUGGUAGCUUUCAUUGCCUCUUCUAAGACAAUAUCAGGUCUGAUACCUCCCAUUUCAGUUAUUGAUGUUAGUUACAUGCAGCAGUUUCUCUGUCAUAGUGAUUUUGUUUAAUUUGUGAAUCCUUCAUAAUUUUGGAUUAUAAAUCAGAAAAUAUCUGUUUAGUUUUGGAGCUUUACCGUUUACAAGCAUUUUGAGUUCAUUUAUUAAUGUGGAGUAAAUGAUUCUGGGUACCGUACUGGUGCUGAAUCCUCAUUGUUUGCUGUUGCAUAUUGUUGAGACUUUAUAAUAACUACAUCAGGAUAAGAGAAAAUUGGUUAAAGCACUGAUCAGUUUGGAAUUUAAGAUCUUCAUUUUUAUUUCGAUCAUUCCUUUUCUUUUUUCUUUUUUCUUUAUAUAUAUAUAUAUAUAUAUAUAUAUAUAUAUAUAUAUAUAUAUAUAUAUAUAUGCGAAUCUUGCCCCUUUUGUUUGUAAUAAUUUUUUCACUCUCUCUACUGGUACGUCGUGUUUAUGAAAUUUCUAGUCUCAUAAUGUUUGCUAUUUGAAGUUUUAACGAACUUUGGAGCACUCUAUAGAUUGCACAAAUAAUGCUUCUUCUUUUUUUUUGUAGUUGCAAUAGAGGUGUUUUUCUGAUUUUGAUAAUGUCAGAGCAGAUUUAUUGUAUCUAAUUAUGUUUUGGGCGUUUUCGCUCCAGUAAUAAACUAAUAACUGUAAAAAUUGUUUCGGCAAUAUAAAUUCCUUUUUUCUAAACCUUAUUAUUACCUUAUAUGUCUCAAAACAUGUUAUAUUUAGAAAAUUUUAUUUGGGUGAAUUUCCUGGGAUGCAUCGUGGUGAGGCAUAUAACCUGAUUUCUCUUGGUACAUAUGUAUUCUGCAAUUUAAAUUUUGCCAAAGCCAGUUGAUGCUUAAUCAAAUUUAUAGAUUUGUCAAUCAAUUUUGUUGCGAAUGUGGCGAGAAGCUAAAAUGAGUUUCUGAGUUUCUAAGAGCAAAAGCUCUGGUAUAAAACUCUUGCUUUUGCAUUUGCUGCUUUUUCUAACGGGAGGCUUAGAACCAGUUGGAGGAACUUUACUGCUAAAAAAUUGUUAAUUGUUAAUGUUUUUUCGAACAGUUUCACCGAAAAUUUUGUUUUUUUUUUAUUAACAAACUCUAAUACGUUAAUAUAUAUUUAUAGGCCUAUUUUUUUUACUAAAUUGAUCUUUUGAGUAAUAUGGUAUCAAAAUUAAUUCUAAAUCCCUUCUUUUGGUGAGGUCGUAAGUUCAUCUGCACUGUCAACAUUUAACAAAUUAAAAUUUUCACAUUAUAUAAUAGGUUAAAUCCUUAUUUUUCUAUUUUAUCUAUCAAUUUCUUUUAUAAGCGUUAUAUACUUGAGUAGUGGUGUUAAUAUAUAUUUUUGGAUAGUAGGGCUACUGUACUAUUAGGAGCACAGCAAUCUUUGUAUUUCUAACUUUCUAUUAUUCAUAAAUUUUGAUGGAUGGUUAGGGUAAAAGAGAGAAGAUAAAUUAAAGAGAAGUUUGAAAAAAGGGAAAUUAAGAUACUCAAUUUCUCUCUAAUUUUUUUUUCUCUCUCUCACCUUAAUCAUUCAUCAAAAUUGAUGGAUGGUUGGGACGUUAGGAAUUCAAAGACUGCUGUGUUCCUAAUAGCGCUCAGUAGUCCUACUCUAUUUUUGGAUUCAGUAGCUUUCUACUCGAUCUUUUGAGCAACAUAUGAUAGGCCAAAAUGGACCUACAUUGUGCUUCAUUUAAACUCUAGGCCCUCCUGUUAUGCAGUUUUGUGUUAAUGCUUACGGAUGUAAGACGGGCCGGGCGGCACAUGGUUUGGUCCGGCCUAACACGGCCGUUGGCCGUGCUUUGCCAUACCCAGCCGGCUCGCAGAUGUGGCCUUGCAUGGACCGCACCCAUGACUGUAGGCGCGGCCAGACACGGCUGCCGGGCACGGCCGACCGUGUUCGGAUGCAGCCUGAUCUAUUUUGGACUGGGCCGAUACAGGCUGUGCUGGGCCUCAGCUUGGGGCCACCCUGGCCUGCAUUUGGAUGCGGGCUGUGUCGGCCCAUAGGGUCCGAUACAGCCUGGUCCAUUUUGGAUUGCGGCUAAGCACCAAGCCUCCCGCGUUUUUAAAUAUUUUUUAUUUUGAAAUAUUAAUUUAAAUUAUUCAAAUUUUACGUUAUUUUAAGAAAAAGUCAUUUAAAACUUAUUUGUUUAACAAAAAAAAAACUAUAUAUUUAUAUUUUUAAAAGAACCCGUAAAAAUUUCUCAAAAUAAAAUUAAAAUAUAAAAAUAACAAAACUAUAGUUACAUGGGUCGGCUUGUGGCCCGACCCGAUCCAAGGCCGCAGUCCAAAGAAUGGCGGUCCUACCCGGCUUCAAUUCAAAUCCGGGUCGGCCCGACCACCCUGUGAUCCGAUUCGGUCCAAAAGAUCUCAUGCUACAAACAUACAUUCUAUUCUAAUCUUAUAAAAUCACAUAAUCUUUUGAUUUAGAAGCUUUUAUCAUGCUUCUUUUUUUUCUUCUUUUUUUUGGCCAAUAAGCAGAUCACCACCAAUAUUAUUGUACUUUAUUUAGGGGCCGUUUGGUUGCAUAUAGUUGCAACUAUACUGCAGUUGUAACUGUAUAUAAAUACAAAUUUCGUAUUUGGUUUAAUGUAUUUAACUCCAAUUGCUGCAGUAGGAACUACAGGAUGAGGCCCAACUGCAGCAGUUCGAACUACAUCCAAAUUGGCCGCAGUUCCAACUACAGCAGUUGGAGAGAGUAACUUUAAAUAAAAAGUAUAUUUACCUCCUCAAUUUAAAUAAAAAUUAUUUUUCUUUUUUAUAUUGCAGGUAAUCUUACCAUCACAUAUAUAAAAUAAUAAAAUUUUAAAAAUUAUUUAUCAACUGUAUGCAACCAAACUAAUUAUUUAUACUUGCAAAUUUUUCUAUUAUAUCUAACUAAAUAGGAUUUAUAUAGUUAUAACUAUUAUAUUUUCAACUACAUAUAUUUCUAACUCUACUAUAUUUAUAAUUAUAUCUAAAUUGAUCGGUCGCUGCACCAUUUUUGUUAUUUUUUAUUUUCUUUAAAAGUAAACAAAACCAUUAUCAAAUUUUAAUUUUUUAUUGUCAAAUAAAUACUUCCAAAGCUUCUAGAGAAAAAAACGUGUCAUGCACUACAACAACCAACGUUUCUCUCUCUCUGCCUCUCUCUCUCUCUCUCUCUCUGCCCGUCUCUUCUCUUCCUCUUUUUUUUUUUCUUUCUUUUUUUUUUUUUUUGGGUGGUGAUUCAUUGCGUGUUGCAUUCGUUGAAAAAAGUAAUUACACGUGUAUGCAAAUAUAUGUGAAGUGAGUACAACGAUAAGUUUUUUUUGGAUUUUAGGAUGGUGUUGCAAAAAUGCCAGGAAAAAGAAGUUUUUGUUAUUUAUUAGUAUUCAAUAAUAUAAGAAAAGGACGGAUCCCAACACCUGAACUAAAACUCACUACGCUUCUAAAAAAAAAAUAAAUUUAUUUGAACUAUAAUUUUUUUUAAUUUGACUAUCUAAUUUAAAAAAUUUUGAUUUUACUAUAUAAAUUUUCAAUUUAUUUCAUUUGAGCCGGUCGACAGCACAUUAAUUUUAAAAUUUGAAUGAAUUACUUAUUUUUACAAAUUUAAUUAGUAUAUUUUAUACAAUUUUUGCAACUAUAUAUUUAAAAUACUAUUAACUCACUGAAAUUAAACAAAUUGAAAAAUAAGGUAGCAUAUUCAAAUUAGUUCAUAGUUCAGAUAUGUUUUGUAUGUCUUUUUCUUUUCUUAAUAACUAGCCGGGUUUAAAGUUACUUGAGCCAUUUGAUUACGGCCAAUUUGCAUAAAAAAUUCACUAGUUUUCGGAUUUUGCAAAAGUGGGUCACCUUUUUCGUUUUUGCAGAUUCGGUCCGAUUUUUCAGCAAACUGACCAAAAUAUUCUUGUACCUUUUUCUCUCUCCUCUUUUUUUUUUUUUGUUCUUUUUUUCUUUCUCUUCCCAGAGAGCGGCGAAAGCGGAGGCGGAGGCAGAGGCGGCCCGCUUCGGUUUUGUCCGGCGCAUCCUUACCCUCGCCUGCGCACCCCCCACCUUCCUCGCCUCCGACCCCGCUGAGGCCGCGCUGCAACUUUUUUUUUCCCCCAUCUCCGACCCUUCUCCACCGUCUCCGACGACGACGCCUAUCUCACCCUCUCUCGCCCUUUUCGCACUUUCCCUCUCUCUCCUCCUUCGCCUCCUCUGUCGCCUCCGACGACGAAGCUUCUCCGCGGAGGUCGCUGCGGCGCUACAGCCUUGGAGUGGGGGGUCUUUAGCGGCGGCGUUGCCGGCGCUGUGGCCGUUGGCAGAGAAGCAUGACAAAAAAAAAUUAUAGAAGAAGAAGAAAAAAAAAAUAAAGACAAAAAAAUUAUAUAAGAAGGAAGAAAAUGAUGAAAUUGCACUGUUAAAAUAAGAUUACAUUGUUUUAAAAAAAAUUUGCAUUGUUAUAAUGAAAAUUAUACUAUUUGAUAUAUAAAUUAUACUCUUUUGGAAUAAAUUUUACACUCUUAAGGCUAACGUUGCACUAUUUAGAAAAAUUUUACAUUAUUUCUUUUCCUUUUCCUUUUCUUUUUCUCUUUCUCUUCUUCUUCUUCUUCUACCGCUGCUGCCUCCCGCCUGGCCCGCGAAGGCACGGCGGGGGCUAUCACCGAGCUCGAGGAGGCUCCUGACAAUGGGAAAGGAAGGACCUCCUCGGAGCUCGGCAAUAGCCCCCACCGCGCCUUCGCAGCCGGGCGGGAGCAGCAGCGGAAGAAGAAGAAGAAGAGAAAGAGAAAAAGAAAAAAAAUAAAAACAUGUGUAAAAUUCUCCUAAAUAGUGCAAUGUUAGCCUUAAGAGUGUAAAAUUCAUUCCAAAAGAACGUAAUUUUUAUAUCAAAUAGUACAAUUUUCAUUAAAACAGUGCAAAUUUAUUUUAAAACAGUGUAAUCUUAUUUUAACGGUGCAAUUUCAUCAUCUUCUUCUUUCUUAUAUAAUUUUUUUUCUUUAUUUUUUUCUUCUUUCUCUUCUAUAAUUUUUUUUUUGUCACGCCUCUCGGCCAACGGUCACGGCGCCGGCGACGAUGCCGCUAAAGACCUCUCGCUCCAAGGCUGCGGCGCCGCAGCGACCUCCGCGGCGCCGAUAUUGGCGGAGAGGCGUCGUCGUCGGAGGCGGUGGAGGAGACGAAGGAGGAGGGAGAGGGAAAGGGCGAGAAGGGCGAGAGAGGGUGAGAUAGGCGUCGUCAUCGGAGACGGUGGAGAAGGGUCGGAGAGGGAAAAAAAAAGAAGUCGCAGCACGGUCUCGGCGGGAACAGAGGUAAGGAGGGAGGAUGGGGGGUAGGUGGGUGCGCGGGCGAGAGUAAGGAUGCGCCGGACAAAACCGAAGCGGCCCGCCUCCGCCUCUGCCUCUGCUGCUCUCUGGGAAGAGAAAAAAAAAAAGAACGAGAGAAAAAAAAAGAGAGAGGAAAAGGUAUUAGGGUAUUUUUGUCAGUUUGCUGAAAAAUCGGACCGAAUUUUAAAAAACGAAAAAUGUGGCUCACUUUUGCAAAAGUCCAAAACUAGUGGAUUAUUUUAUGCAAAUUGGCCUUUGAUUUCAUAUAAUAGAUAUUUGUUGUUAAAAGAUAAGAAAGAGAAAAAAAUAUUUGGAGUUUUUUUUUUUUUUUUUUUUUUUUUUUUUUUUUGUACAACUGUGAUCGCUAAAAAUUUAUAUUAACAUCUAUUUUUGAAAGUUAAAACCAAGUAAAAAAUUUAUAAGGCCCAGUUAAUUAAAUAAAAUUUUUAUAUAAAAUAGUGUAGGAGAUGGCAGUAGAUUACUUGUAAUUUUUUUAUCCAAAAUAUUUAUUAGAUUGGCUGCAUUGCAAGCUAAUUAUUCAUAAUAAUAAUAAAAAAAUUCUUUUAUUAGUGUAUCAAAUUAUAUAAAAUUAGCAUUUUUUAAAAAAUGACAAACUAAAUCUUUUGAUAAAGUUUUACGAUCUGACUUACGACAAAUAUUAUUUAAUUUGAGACAAAAAAAAGAAAAGAAAAGAAGAUAAUAGCAUGGAGCCAAGGUAAAUGCAAAGAUUAAUAUAGCUCAAUCACCAACUUAGAACCUACUAAUGUCCUUUCCAUUAUCCAUUUUCUUACGGUGACAUAUACUUCGUGUAAAAGAGUUAUCUAGUUAUGAGCUUUUUAACAUGCAUGGAAAUUUUUGUUGAUCUCUUUUUUGAGAGAAAAGUAGCAUGUUACCCACUUCAUUUAUUGAAAUGAUGAAUUAGGUGAACACGAGGUAAGACAGCGAGGGCCUCAAAUCGGGCGAAAACGCCCCCCCAAAAAAAAAACUAUCGAAUACAGAAGCGACGCUUUGUGCAGAGGGAUUGAACCCAGAGGUUUGUCCAGCGUUUAAUCUUAAGGACCGUAGUUAGUGGGUCGGCAGGAUCUUUCGAAAGAUAACACAGUUCCUGGCCUCCCAGGUGACCCACCAGCAAGCUGCAAGUCCCAAAAGCCUAAGGCAGGUAGACUGAUUUCCUUUCCUCUCCAUCCAUCUAUCCUAGACACAACCAACAUCCUCCCCCAAGUCCCCAGGUUGGAUACCAUGCAUCCAAAGCCGUCACAACCAAGAAUCUGAUAAAAACACAUCGAGUGAAAAGAUGGUCCACAGUUUUCUCCUCCACCCUACAUAACAUGCAGGCGGUGUUUCUGGUCCAUCCUCGCUUAAGAAGAUUGUCUGCUGUAAGGUGCCUUUUCUUGAGAUCUAGCCAACAAAACACUUUGACUUUGAGAGGUAUACUGAGUUGUCAGAUCAUGCUCGCUCGGUUGUCCCUUGUGCCUCCGACACUCAGAAUCAUAUAAGUCGAUUUCACUGUGAAUGUCCCGUCCGGGCUCUACCGCCAAAUAACACAAUCAGAACUCUGCUCAGGUCUGAGUUCGGAAAUUCUCUCCACAAAGGCCGAAAAAUUAGGGCACAACCCAUAACUCGAAGCAUUGUUGUCUCCUAGUAUUUUACUCCAGUCCCAGUCAUCGUUCUGCAAACAUUGGCAGAUUUUCAAGUUUUUGUGGUUCGACAUAGCAUACACCUGAGGAAAUGACACCUGCAGAGCUGAUUUCCCACACCAACGGUUCGACCAAAAGUCGAUAUUACUCGAAAUCCCCAUCUUGUGGGCUAUCCCCCAACUGAAGAUCUCGUUCUGGCAUAGUACUCCCUUCCACCAAAAAGAGAAGGGUUUAAAGGAUCUUUCCUCCUUCAGAGGUCUUCUUCUACAAUAAUACAGGGCGUGGAUAAGUUUGUUCCAUGGAAGCUGAGGAUCCGUGUGAAAUUUUCACCACCAUUUGAUCAGGAGAGCACGGUUCAUUGUGGCUAAGUCCAAAAUGCCAAGCCCUCCUUUUUUCUUACUUCUACACAUCUUCUUCCAGGCUAUCAGGCAUCCCUUGCCUGGGUAAUUGUUUCCUCCAGACCAGAAGUAGUCGCUACGAAAAGUCUCAACACGCACGAUCACCCAUUUGGGAGCCUUGAACAAAGACAAGAAGUAAAUGGGUAGAUUGGUAAGGACCGCAUUCGUCAGAAUCAACUCUCCCCUCAUGAAAGAAGUUUCACUUUCCAACCGUUAAUCUUUCUCUGUAAUUUAAGAAUAAUCCCCUCCCAGUCCUCCUUCGAUAGGGGUCUGACAAAGAGAGAGAGUCCUAGGCACUUGGUAGGUAGAGUACCCCGACACUCGAGGAUAUUUACAAGUCUAGUCGAAAAAAAAAAAAAUUUGUAGAUCUUAUUCGCAAAAAUACUUGUCGAAUAAGUGAUUUUUGUUGAAUAAGUUUUUUGUAGAAAUGCUUGUGCUACAUUCUUAUUUGAGCCUUUUUGGCUCGCCAAAUUGGCAAAAUUAAAAAAAUUCUCUUAAGUUCUGUAUAUACAAGUAACUUCAUCCUGGUAGUCACGGCACUCUGGGAUAGAGCAUGUUUGGCCGAACUUUUGAAUAAGUAAUUUUCGCUGAAUUGAUUUUGAUUUGUAGAAUUUUUUUUAUUAAAGAGCUGUAGAGCCAAAUUGGCUAAGUAUGAUAGAAAGAUAAUUUUUAUGAAGUGAUUUUAUAAAAUUACUUAAUAUUUUCUUUUGAAAUAAUUUUAUAAAAUAUAAAAUAUAAAAUUUUUAUUUAAAAAAUUCAAGUUCAAAAUUAAGAAAUUAAAAAAUAAAAUCUAAAUUUACAAAUUAUAAUUUAAAAUUUAAAUUUAAAUUUGAAUUCAAUAAUAAAAUCAAAUU